rnacentral:misc_RNA from 1 species
UACGUAGGUGGCAAGCGUUGACCGGAAUUAUUGGGCGUAAAGCGCGCGCAGGCGGUCCUUUAAGUCUGAUGUGAAAGCCCCCGGCUCAACCGUGGAGGGGCAUUCGAAACUGGCGGACUUGAGUGCAGAAGAGGAGAGUAGAAUUCCACGUGUAGCGGUGAAAUGCGUAGAGAUGUGGAGGAACACCAGUGGCGAAGGCGACUUUCUGGUCUGUAACUGACGCUGAGGCGCGAAAGCGUGGGGAGCAAACAGG